UGAGCAAUCUGCCCUUCACUUCGGGAUAACUCCGGGAAACCGGUGCUAAUACCGAAUACGACCACUUCAGGCAUCUGAUGGUGGUGGAAAGUUCCGGCAGUGAAGGAUGAGCUCGCGGCCUAUCAGCUUGUUGGUGAGGUAAUGGCCCACCAAGGCAACGACGGGUAGCCGGCCUGAGAGGGUGACCGGCCACACUGGGACUGAGACACGGCCCAGACUCCGUACGGGAG
rnacentral:rRNA from 1 species